AGGAAGAUUUGAGGCUGCCGUGAAUCGCCACUGUAACUCGUAGAAAUCAAAGUGCACUUUGGCUAAAUCUGGCUUUUUUCUGAGAGAGGGCUCGCUCAUCCCGUCUAAGCCGGGCGAUGAUAGCUCUGUUGUACAUAACAUAAAGAGCUGCGCCUUAGUAUAGUAUAGUAAAACAAGUUCAGCGGUUACCUGGCAAUGAUACAUGCGCAGACUGUACCUCUAAAGAUCCCACAUGGUUGUCGACGAACCUCGGCGUCUUGACGUGUAUCGAGUGCUCCGGAGUUCAUCGCGGGAUGGGUGUCCACGUUUCUAGAGUCCAGCCAUCACGCUCGACAAUAUAGGCAACGCUGAACUGCUCGUGACUGACUUUUUAUUCUUAUUUUUGUCCAACUAUUGUUUGUUUAAUGUUUAACCAUUUAGAGUUAGACAUGAGGAAGUAGAGACAAGUAAAGCCCUUUUUGGG